AGAAAAUGGCGGCACACGUUAUCACAGAGACAACAGUCCUUUAAAGUGUGGACACUCUUUACAUUACGCUACACCGCUGGCCUCAUGACAUUACUUGUGUUUUCAUAGUUUGGGACAUGGUCUGGUUUUCAUACAUCACGACACACUCGAUGAUGUGAGCCGCUUCCUUCCAUUCGUCUGCAGGAAUCGUGAUUUGAGCUCGAGUGAAUUCUGAGGCUGAAUCGUCGUGUCCUGUCCAGCCUGAUUCUGUCCAUCCUGUGCGCUCGUCUCCAUCAAUUAACCACAAAACUCUGAUCUGAGAGGGAACGACAUCCAUCACCACACACUGCAGGAGAACAGAGGGAGUGUCCACCUCCAUCGCUAGAACUACUGGCACAGCUGCAGCAGUAGAAAACUAAUCAUCACCUUCUGACCAAUCAGAAUUGAGAAUUCAAUAACUGUGGUAGGAAUGUGAAUCUACACUGAGUGCCAUGUUUGUUAUACUGAUCUAGUAUCUAAUAAAUAAAAGUCAAUAGGGUGAAAUCAGAACAAAGCUUUAAGCUUUGUGCUCUUCAGUACUAGCGUGUUCUUCAAAAUAAAUAACAUAAAAAUAAACUGAGGCCAUUUAUUAAACCCUGCUUAAAUACUGAUUACAGAAUAUGAUCGUGUAUCUGAUAUCCUGCUUUGAUUCUGCAGCUUUGCUUUGUUCCUACACUGUAAGGAUCUUUGAAUCUUCGGUGCUUUGGAUGAUGAAUGGUA